ACCCAAAGUCACUUUAGCCAACCUGCAAAGGAGGCGAGUCGCCUAAGGUAUGGGGGAUGAUUGGGGUGAAGUCGUAACAAGGUAGCUGUAGGUGAACCUGCAGAAGGAUCA
rnacentral:rRNA from 1 species